rnacentral:rRNA from 1 species
UACGAAGGGGGCUAGCGUUGUUCGGAAUCACUUGGCGUAAAGCGCACGUAGGCGGAUGUGUCAGUCAGGGGUGAAAUCCCGGAGCUCAACUUCGGAACUGCCUCUGAUACAGCACGUCUUGAGUCCGGAAGAGGUGGGUGGAAUUCCUAGUGUAGAGGUGAAAUUCGUAGAUAUUAGGAAGAACACCGGUGGCGAAGGCGGCCCACUGGUCCGGUACUGACGCUGAGGUGCGAAAGCGUGGGGAGCAAACAGG